GGAGGCAUAGCUCAGUUGGGAGAGCACUUGCUCGACAAGCAAGGGGUCACUGGUUCAAGUCCAGCUGUCUCCA
rnacentral:tRNA from 2 species